rnacentral:rRNA from 1 species
AGCGAACGCUGGCGGCGUGCCUAACACAUGCAAGUCGAACGUGAAAGGGAGCAAUCCCAAGUAAAGUGGCGUACGGGUGAGUAACACGUAGGUAAUCUACCCCAGAAUCUGGAAUAACCGGCCGAAAGGCUGGCUAAUACUGGAUAGAGCGACGGAAUCCGUAAUUGGGUUUUUCGGGAAAGGGAGCCUGUAAAAAGGCCUUCGUUCUGGGAUGAGCCUGCGUCCCAUCAGCUAGUUGGUGAGGUAAAAGCUUACCAAGGCAAUGACGGGUAGCUGGUCUGAGAGGACGAUCAGCCACACUGGAACUGAAACACGGUCCAGACUCCUACGGGAGAUAGCAGUGGGGAAUCUUGCGCAAUGGACGAAAGUCUGACGCAGCAACGCCGCGUGAGUGAAGAAGGCCUUCGGGUUGUAAAGCUCUGUCGAGUGGGACGAAAAUGCUUGGAGUUCACAGCUCCAGGAACUGACGGUACCACUAAAGGAAGCACCGGCUAACUCCGUG